UGUGAUAAGGUUUAUCUCCGGAGCCUAACGAGUUCACCCUGUAGCCCUCUCAAGCUCCCACUGAGUGGACCUCGAUGUACAGAACUGCAGGCAGCUAGCAGUGGACGGAGCUCCCUCAGACUGCCAAGAGAAGCUGCGAGAGCUGGAGAAAGAGCCGUGGAGCUUUGGCACAGAGAGGCGUGUGUGUGUCUCAGAGGCAACGGCUGAGGCAAAGAUGGAGGGGGACUGCUGCUGAGGUCACGGAGGAGCUGGUGCCUCUCUCCAGCGGUCAUUGAACAAGAGGCGGCGUACACCCUGGACAGGUCGCCAGUCCAUCACAGGGCAACAGAGACACAGAGGAUAGAUAACCAUGCACACACACACACUCAUAGGUAAGGAGGUAAGGGCUAUUUAGAGUGACCAGUUGAACUACCAAUCAUGUUUUUUCUGGACUAUGGGAGGAAAGUGGACACAGAGGAAACCAGAAAAAACAACAUGUUCGGGCAGAACUUGCAAACUCAAUACAGAAAGGCAGGGAUUCAAACCCAAGAACUUCUUGCUGCAAGGCAACAGUACUACCAAUAGUCCUAUCCUGCAGUCCCUUUAAUUAUGUCAUUUGCAAUAAGAUAUUUAAUUACAUUCGCUCAGUUUUCCAUUGUUGUUGAAUCUGUUUAAUAAUUUCUGCGGUUCCUCCAUUCUUUCUCCAUGUUGCCAUAAUUGUGUCUUUAUGAUUGUUGUAGAACUAACCAACUCUCUUCAGGACAGAACAUGAUUAAAAUAAAAAUCUAAUUACAUAUAGGCUAAGAUUGAUUUUAAUAUUAACAUCACAUUUAUAAACACAUUUUAUGUGGCUGCUUUUAUAUCUGUGCACAAUUAUCAACAAGAGGGCCGGAUAAUAUCAGAAUAGUAUUUAAUUGUGAUACCUUUGCAGAAAACAUUUUUGAUUACAAUUUACCAAGAAUUUCUAAAUGUGUUUCU